ACAGGCUUAACACAUGCAAGUCGAGGGGCAGCAUGGUCUUAGCUUGCUAAGGCCGAUGGCGACCGGCGCACGGGUGAGUAACGCGUAUCCAACCUGCCUUACACUCUUGGACAGCCUUCUGAAAGGGAGAUUAAUACAAGAUGUUAUCAUGAGUAAGCAUUUUCGCAUGAUUAAAGGUUUACCGGUGUAAGAUGGGGAUGCGUUCCAUUAGAUAGUAGGCGGGGUAACGGCCCACCUAGUCUUCGAUGGAUAGGGGUUCUGAGAGGAAGGUCCCCCACAUUGGAACUGAGACACGGUCCAAACUCCUACGGGAGGCAGCAGUGAGGAAUAUUGGUCAAUGGACGAGAGUCUGAACCAGCCAAGUAGCGUGAAGGAUGAAGGUUCUAUGGAUUGUAAACUUCUUUUAUACGGGAAUAAACGAAUCCACGUGUGGAUUUUUGCAUGUACCGUAUGAAUAAGGAUCGGCUAACUCCGUGCCAGCAGCCGCGGUAAUACGGAGGAUCCGAGCGUUAUCCGGAUUUAUUGGGUUUAAAGGGAGCGUAGAUGGGUUGUUAAGUCAGUUGUGAAAGUUUGCGGCUCAACCGUAAAAUUGCAAUUGAUACUGGCAGUCUUGAGUACAGUUGAGGUAGGCGGAAUUCGUGGUGUAGCGGUGAAAUGCUUAGAUAUCACGAAGAACUCCGAUUGCGAAGGCAGCUUACUAACCUGUAACUGACAUUGAUGCUCGAAAGUGUGGGUAUCAAACAGGAUUAGAUACCCUGGUAGUCCACACGGUAAACGAUGAAUACUCGCUGUAGGCGAUAUACAGUCUGCGGCCAAGCGAAAGCAUUAAGUAUUCCACCUGGGGAGUACGCCGGCAACGGUGAAACUCAAAGGAAUUGACGGGGGCCCGCACAAGCGGAGGAACAUGUGGUUUAAUUCGAUGAUACGCGAGGAACCUUACCCGGGCUUAAAUUGCAACCGAAUAUGGCGGAAACGCUAUAGCUAGCAAUAGCGGUUGUGAAGGUGCUGCAUGGUUGUCGUCAGCUCGUGCCGUGAGGUGUCGGCUUAAGUGCCAUAACGAGCGCAACCCUUGCCGAUAGUUACUAACAGGUUAUGCUGAGGACUCUGUCGGGACUGCCAUCGUAAGAUGUGAGGAAGGUGGGGAUGACGUCAAAUCAGCACGGCCCUUACGUCCGGGGCUACACACGUGUUACAAUGGGGGGUACAGAGGGCUGCUACCACGCAAGUGGAUGCCAAUCCCAAAAACCUCUCUCAGUUCGGAUUGAAGUCUGCAACCCGACUUCAUGAAGCUGGAUUCGCUAGUAAUCGCGCAUCAGCCACGGCGCGGUGAAUACGUUCCCGGGCCUUGUACACACCGCCCGUCAAGCCAUGGGAGCCGGGGGUACCUGAAGUGCGUAACCGCAAGGAGCGCCCUAGGGUAAAACUGGUGACUGGGGCU
rnacentral:rRNA from 1 species